UACGUAGGGGGCAAGCGUUGUCCGGAUUUAUUGGGCGUAAAGAGCGUGUAGGCGGCCAGGUAGGUCUGCUGUGAAAACUCGAGGCUCAACCUCGAGACGCCGGCGGAAACCAUCUGGCUAGAGUCCGGAAGAGGAGAGUGGAAUUCCCGGUCGUAGCGGUGAAAUGCGCAGAUAUCGAGGAGGAACACCGGUGGCGAAGGCGGGUCUCUGGGCAGUAACUGACGCUGAGGAGCGAAAGCGUGGGGAGCGAACAGG
rnacentral:rRNA from 1 species